rnacentral:lncRNA from 1 species
UUCAACUUGUAAGCUAAAACAUCAACGAAACUCAUCCUCUCAUUCUAAUAGUUUUCGACCAUCCCUUCAACGUUUUUGCACUCUCCCUAUACUCUCGAGAACCUGUGCGAUUGGUCGGAGCAUAAAAGAAAGCCUACCAGAGAUUGGGGGCGACGCCGAAGACAUUCGCCGGAACCGGGGUUUACGUCGGGUUUAACUCGGUUUGUUCGGUACAUCCUUUUCUGUUGAUUCAAAUCCUUUCUCGUUUACGUUUUUUAUUUAUUUAUUUAUUUCUACAAGAAGCUGCUUUGAUAAAAACAUGGUUGUAUAAGAUGACUAACCGGUUCUAACGUUGCUUAUGAUGUUAAUGGAGAAGAUAACACAAUGAUUUUGUUUAAAUGAAAUAAAAACUAACAUAAGUCACAUCGGGCAAUUUAGUUCAGUUGGUUCCAAUGUUAGCAGUCAAGCCGGAGGUCACAUGUUCGACCCGACCUCCGGAUAAAUAGCUAAAGCUUGUUUUUAUUUUCUGUUGUAACCGGAUAAAUAGCUAAAGCUUGUUUUUAUUUUCUGUUGUAACCGGAUAAAUAGCUAAAGCUUGUUUUUAUUUUCUGUUGUAACCGGAUAAAUAGCUAAAGCUUUUUCUAUAAGACUAAUUUAGAGAUGAAACAGUGUUUGAAGAGGCAGAGGUCGCGGGUGCGAACCCAGCGAUAUGCCUCUGUUAAUGCAAAUUUUAUUUCUUUAUAAUAUAAACAGAAUAAUAGUUGAACUUAAUGAAAAUUUCAUUUGGGGUUUAUUUUUAAGGUUUAUUCUUUUUAAUCCAAAUUUUGUAUAUUAACAGUUUGUUUCUUUUACCUAUUUUCAUUAUUCUUUUUUAACUAAAACAACAGGUUGUUUCUUUGAUCUAUUUUCAUUACUUUUUUUUUUUACUAAAACUUAAUAUUCAACAAUUUAUUUUUUUUGUACUUCAUUUUCUUUUUAAUUAAAUCAUUCAAAUUUUAUAAUAACACUAAUAAUUAGUAAACCAUUUUAAUUUCCUUUUUAACAUUAAUAGGUUAAAAAUGUAGUAAAUUAUAAUAUCUAAUUAAUUAACUUAUAAACCUUAAAUAUUAGGAAUUUUAUUUAACCUAUAAUUAUUAACUAGAUUGUUACGUGGUAUUUGAAAAUCUAGGAAAAACGCUCUCGUUCAUUCGGUUUCUCAAUCUUUACUCAUGCGUUAUUUUGCAAGGAACUGCAAACGCAACCACUGUGAGUAGAUCUUAUCUUUCCCCCUUUUGCCACUUAAACUUUUUUGGGUGUUUCAUGUGUCACAUUUCAUACAUUUUGUAUACCCUUUUUAAUAACAUGCCAAGUUAAGUGUUAUAUGUGUUCAUGUGUUUCAUAGCAUCGCUUUUCGCUUUUCGAGGCUUGAAUCGCAUCAUUGUUUCAUAG